CCUACGGGAGGCAGCAGUAGGGAAUCUUCCACAAUGGGCGAAAGCCUGAUGGAGCAACGCCGCGUGGGUGAAGAAGGUCUUAGGAUCUUAAAACCCUGUUGUUAGAGAAGAAAGUGCGUGAGCGUAACUGGUCACGUUUCGACGGUAUCUAACCAGAAAGCCACGGCUAACUACGUGCCAGCAGCCGCGGUAAUACGUCGGUGGCAAGCGUUAGACGGAUUUAUUUGGCGUAAAGGGCAAGCAGGCGGUCAGUUAAGUCUGAUGUGAAAGUCUUCGGCUUAACCGGAGUAGUGCAUUGGAAACUGGGAGCCUUGAGUGCAGAAGAGGAGAGUGGAACUCCAUGUGUAGCGGUGAAAUGCGUAGAUAUAUGGAAGAACACCAGUGGCGAAAGCGGCUCUCUGGUCUGCAACUGACGCUGAGGUUCGAAAGCGUGGGUAGCAAACAGGAUUAGAUACCCUAGUAGUC
rnacentral:rRNA from 1 species